AUUCUUUAUCGGAGGAAACAGAUUGUCCGGUACAAUUCCGUCUUCAUUGCUCAAUCUCUCCUCUCGAUCCAAGUUUGACGCUUUAGAAAACCAGAUACAAGGGAGUCUUCCUGCAGACUUAGGCUUGACGCUCCCAAAUCUUCAAUUAUUCAGCAUUGCCACGAACCAACUUGAGGGACCGAUUCCUCCCUCGGUGUCCAAUUGGGCAAAGCUAGAGGUUAUUCAAUUCGGAAAGAACAAGCUUUCGGGGAAAGUGCCUUCUUUUGGAAAUAUGCCU